rnacentral:rRNA from 1 species
UGGUGGAUGCCUAGGCACGAAGAGGCGAUGAAGGACGUGUAAGGCUGCGAAAAGCUAUGGGGAGCCGCCAAUAGGCAUUGAUCCAUAGAUCUCCGAAUGGGAAAACCCACCGCAUGAGCGGUAUCUACUCCUGAACACAUAGGGAAAUAGAGGCAAACCCGGCGAACUGAAACAUCUCAGUAGCUGGAGGAAAGGACAUCAACCGAGACUCCGAAAGCAGUGG